rnacentral:misc_RNA from 1 species
AAAAAUUCUUGGAGUCAGCUUAGAGUUAAUAGGUGAAUUUGGAACAAGGCUACAUAAGCAACUCCCUAAUUUUUGAUACCAUGUUUAAUAAGGAAGCACUAGAGGACCUACACUUUCAUCCUCUAUGUGCAGGUUUUGCAAAGAUAAAACCAAGAAAUGAAGUUAGGCACCUAUGAAAAGCACUUGAGGAAAUUAGCUUUUUAAGUAUACAAUAGUCUUAGGAGCCCGUCAAUAUUUAUAAAAACCUUAACGAGAGCGAAUGAAGGCUGAGCACCUUUUAGAGGUACUUAGGAGGAA